rnacentral:rRNA from 1 species
AACGAACGCUGGCGGCAGGCUUAACACAUGCAAGUCGAACGCCCCGCAAGGGGAGUGGCAGACGGGUGAGUAACGCGUGGGAAUCUACCUAGUUCUACGGAACAACAGUUGGAAACGACUGCUAAUACCGUAUACGCCCUACGGGGGAAAGAUUUAUCGGAAUUAGAUGAGCCCGCGUAAGAUUAGCUAGUUGGUGGGGUAAUGGCCUACCAAGGCGACGAUCUUUAGCUGGUCUGAGAGGAUGAUCAGCCACACUGGGACUGAGACACGGCCCAGACUCCUACGGGAGGCAGCAGUGGGGAAUAUUGGACAAUGGGCGCAAGCCUGAUCCAGCCAUGCCGCGUGAGUGAUGAAGGCCUUAGGGUUGUAAAGCUCUUUCACCGAUGAAGAUAAUGACGGUAGUCGGAGAAGAAGCCCCGGCUAACUUCGUGCCAGCCGCCGCCGUAA